rnacentral:rRNA from 1 species
UACGAAGGUCCCAAGCGUUGUUCGGAAUCACUGGGCGUAAAGGGUGCGUAGGCGGCGUGGUAAGUCAGAUGUGAAAUCCCGGGGCUCAACCCCGGAACUGCAUCCGAUACUGCCAUGCUUGAGGACUGGAGAGGUGACUGGAAUUCUCGGUGUAGCAGUGAAAUGCGUAGAGAUCGAGAGGAACACUCGUGGCGAAAGCGAGUCACUGGACAGUAUCUGACGCUGAUGCACGAAGGCUAGGGGAGCGAAAGGG